CCAAACAAAACACUGAGAAGCAAAGGACCAUGUCCCAGCUUCCAAGUAAAAGACGCGCUCCUUGAAGUUUCCUAAAUGGAAUCUCACCACACUCACUACCAGCCGCAGCUAAUCUCCACAUGGGCAUCUUUCCACUUCAAUACGGACACGUAUAUUUGAUUCAUUGUAGACCUAGUCUCUCCCCAUCUGCAUUCCAACACCAAAACUAAAUGAUGAUGGCGAUCCUCCCCUACUUCUUUGUAAUUUCUUCUGUCAUAGACUAUCAGCCUGGUCUUUUUUUCUCCAAAGUUUCCCGUAUCUCACAGGUUAGCCGUGUCUCCUCCACUUGUGAUUUUCCCUGCUAAAAUCUCUGCAUCAAUUUCAAUCUACUUGCCUGUCAAUUCAUUCGAAUUUUCUCUGUUCUUGAUAGAAAUCAAAAUUACGGAUCGAUCUUUGAUAGCGGGCAGUGGGGACCUUCUAGUCGUAACAAGCUCCUCCAUAUAUUGCUCUUAAAGAUCAAGGCUUCCGAUUCAUUUUUAUUAUUUCUUAAUAAUUUAUUAGCAUAUUGAGUUAGCUUAGUUAUAUACUUGUAUUAAUUUUAUUGUUUUAAUAUUUUAUGGUUAAACAUAUUAAUUUUAUUUUUUUAAUUAAUAUACUUUUAAAAAAAAAUUGUUCCACACCAC
rnacentral:lncRNA from 1 species